rnacentral:tRNA from 1 species
UCCCUGGUGGCUUGGGCGGUGAAGAAUCUGCCUCCAAUGCAGGAGACCCAGGUUCGAGAUCCCUGGCUCGGGAA